rnacentral:misc_RNA from 1 species
AAAAGGAAAAGUUUGCCUGAUUCCAGAAAUAGAAUUGCUAAAUCUAUCAACUUGUCAGUUGUCACAUGCUUCUCAUUAGAUUUUUUUAAUGUAGAAAAUUAACUUUCAAGUAUUUCAAACUUGAUUUACCUAGGUAAAGUAAAAAAAGGGGCCAGCAAAAAUAUUACGUCGUGAAGGAAGUUCAAUGAAAGAAGAAAAUAAUUAUGACAAAAUAACCAAAGGAUA